rnacentral:rRNA from 1 species
UGAGGAAUUUUGCGCAAUGGGCGAAAGCCUGACGCAGCGACGCCGCGUGGAGGAAGACGGCCUUCGGGUUGUAAACUCCUGUCAGGGGUGAAGAAACUUCGCAAGAAGCUGACGGUAACCCCAGAGGAAGCCCCGGCUAACUACGUGCCAGCAGCCGCGGUAAUACGUAGGGGGCAAGCGUUGCUCGGAAUUACUGGGCGAAAAGGGUGUGUAGGUGGCUGAUUAAGUUAAGGAUGAAAUCCCGAGGCUCAACUGCGGAACUGUCCUGGAUACUGGUCAGCUUGAGGCUAGUAAAGGAGAGCGGAAUUCCCGGUGGAGCGUGGAAAUGCGUAGAUAUCGGGAGGAACACCAGAGGCGUAGGCGGUUCUCUAGGCUAGUCCUGACACUGAGACACGAAAGCUAGGGGAGCAAACG